AUUGAACGCUGGCGGUAGGCCUAACACAUGCAAGUCGAACGCGAAAGUCCUUCGGGAUGAGUAGAGUGGCGGACGGGUGAGUAACGCGUAGGAAUCUAUCCUGUAGUGGGGGAUAACGUUUCGAAAGGAACGCUAAUACCGCAUACGCCCCACGGGGGAAAGCGGGGGAUCUUCGGACCUCGUGCUAUAGGAGGAGCCUGCGUCGGAUUAGCUAGUUGGUGAGGUAAAGGCUCACCAAGGCGACGAUCCGUAGCUGGUCUGAGAGGAUGAUCGUCAACACCGGACCUGAGACACGGUCCGGCCUCCUACGGAAGGCAGCAGUGGGGAAUAUGGCGCAAUGCGCGAAAGCCUGACGCCGCCAUACCGCGUGUGUGAAGAAGGCCUUCGGGUUGUAAAGCACUUUCAGUGGGGAGGAAAAGCUGGUAGCUAAUAUCCAUCGGCCGUGACGCUACCCACAGAAGAAGCACCGGCUAAUUCCGUGCCAGCCGCCGCCGUAACAC
rnacentral:rRNA from 1 species